rnacentral:rRNA from 1 species
CCAACAGGGAUUGCCCUAGUAACGGCGAGUGAAGCGGCAACAGCUCAAAUUUGAAAUCUGGCUCUCGGGCCCGAGUUGUAAUUUGUAGAGGAUACUUUUGAUGCGGUGCCUUCCGAGUUCCCUGGAACGGGACGCCAUAGAGGGUGAGAGCCCCGUCUGGUUGGAUGCCAAAUCUCUGUAAAGUUCCUUCGACGAGUCGAGUAGUUUGGGAAUGCUGCUCUAAAUGGGAGGUAUAUGUCUUCUAAAGCUAAAUACCGGCCAGAGACCGAUAGCGCACAAGUAGAGUGAUCGAAAGAUGAAAAGCACUUUGAAAAGAGAGUUAAAAAGUACGUGAAAUUGUUGAAAGGGAAGCGUUUAUGACCAGACUUGGGCUUGGUUACUCAUCUGGGGUUCUCCCCAGUGCACUUUUCCAGUCCAG